UGGCUCAGUUUGUAGAGCAUGGUGUUUGCAACGCCAAGUUUGUGGGUUCCAUUCCCAC
rnacentral:tRNA from 1 species